rnacentral:rRNA from 1 species
GACGAACGCUGGCGGCGUGCCUAAUACAUGCAAGUAGAACGCUGAAGAGAGGAGCUUGCUCUUCUUGGAUGAGUUGCGAACGGGUGAGUAACGCGUAGGUAACCUGCCUUGUAGCGGGGGAUAACUAUUGGAAACGAUAGCUAAUACCGCAUAACAAUAGGUGACACAUGUCAUUUAUUUGAAAGGGGCAAUUGCUCCACUACAAGAUGGACCUGCGUUGUAUUAGCUAGUAGGUGAGGUAACGGCUCACCUAGGCGACGAUACAUAGCCGACCUGAGAGGGUGAUCGGCCACACUGGGACUGAGACACGGCCCAGACUCCUACGGGAGGCAGCAGUAGGGAAUCUUCGGCAAUGGGGGCAACCCUGACCGAGCAACGCCGCGUGAGUGAAGAAGGUUUUCGGAUCGUAAAGCUCUGUUGUAAGUCAAGAACGAGUGUGAGAGUGGAAAGUUCACACUGUGACGGUAGCUUACCAGAAAGAGACGGCUAACUACGUG